GUCCCCCCACUCCCCAGGGCCUGCUUCCUCUUUUGGGGACUGAGGUAGUGGCCUGGCAGGGCUGCCAGUCUGGCAGGCUCUUGGGUGGCUCUGACCCAGUGUGACAGCAAGGAGCAAAAGACCCUGUCUCACUGUCAUGCUUGUUUUCCUGUAGUCCCACAGCCUUCAGAAAGCACUAGUGACUUGCCGGGGACGAAAAACUAGAAACUACAGAUGAAAAAGCACAGCAAAUGCUUUGGGGAGCAGAGAGAAAAGGAACCCGCAUUCUGCCCAGCACAGAUCUUUUGGACACGAAUUUUGUUUGUGUCGCGCGCGGCUGCAGGUCAGGCUGGCGAGCACAAGCAGCACUGUGACAUAUGGCAAGGAACAGUUUAAAGCUGUGGCUACUCCCACCCUGCUCAGACCCAGUUUGCAGGCGGGAGGUGCGGAGGCUGCUCCUGCAUGGGCUGAGUGAGCUGUUGGCAGGGUUCGAUCAGUCUGCCUCGCUGCGGGAUUUUCUGCUUUGCUGUGGAAAUGUACCAGGACACAUUCAAGUUCAGUCUGGCUCCAAGAGGACGUUCUUCAAAACUGGCUUGAUGGGCUCCUCUUUCCUGACCAUCACAGGAAUUCACUACAAAUAUUUACCAUCUGCAUCUCUGCUCCCCCUAUUGUAUGUACUUUGGUUCCCUAAACCGAUUAUGUAGAUAUUUCACAGUGUCAUAAAAAGCAGAAAGAGCACAGAA